UACGAAGGGGGCUAGCGUUGCUCGGAAUCACUGGGCGUAAAGGGCGCGUAGGCGGCCGGCCAAGUCGGGGGUGAAAGCCUGUGGCUCAACCACAGAAUGGCCCUCGAUACUGGCUGGCUCGAGACCGGAAGAGGUUGGUGGAAUUGCGAGUGUAGAGGUGAAAUUCGUAGAUAUUCGCAAGAACACCGGUGGCGAAGGCGGCCAACUGGUCCGGAUCUGACGCUGAGGCGCGAAAGCGUGGGGAGCAGACAGG
rnacentral:rRNA from 1 species